CGCGUAGGCGGUUUGAUAAGUCAGAUGUGAAAGCCCACGGCUUAACUGUGGAAGUGCAUUUGAAACUGUCAGACUUGAGUAUCAGAGGGGAAAGUGGAAUUCCCCGGUGUAGAGGUGAAAUUCGUAGAUAUCGGGAGGAAUACCGGUGGCGAAGGCGACUUUCUGGCUGAAUACUGACGCUGAGGCGCGAAGCGUGGGGAGCAAACA
rnacentral:rRNA from 1 species